rnacentral:piRNA from 1 species
UGGGCUUUGGGAAGUGGGAAUGAGGGA